UACGGAGGGUGCGAGCGUUAAUCGGAAUGACUGGGCGUAAAGGGUGCGUAGGCGGUUGAUUAAGUUAUCUGUGAAAUUCCUGGGCUUAACCUGGGGGGGUCAGAUGAGACUGGUUGACUUGAGUAUGGGAGAGGGCAGUGGAAUUUCCGGUGUAGCGGUGAAAUGCGUAGAGAUCGGAAGGAACACCAGUGGCGAAGGCGGCUGUCUGGCCUAAUACUGACGCUGAGGCACGAGAGCGUGGGGAGCAAACAGG
rnacentral:rRNA from 1 species